UUGACCUCGGAUCAGGUAGGAAUACCCGCUGAACUUAAGCU
rnacentral:rRNA from 1 species